rnacentral:rRNA from 1 species
CGAAAGCCUGACGGAGCAAGACCGCGUGGGGGAGGAAUGCCUUAGGGUUGUAAACCCCUUUUAUCUGGGAAGAACAAAAUGACGGUACCAGAUGAAUAAGCCUCGGCUAACUCCGUGCCAGCAGCCGCGGUAAUACGGAGGAGGCAAGCGUUAUCCGGAAUUAUUGGGCGUAAAGCGUCCGUAGGUGGUUAAUCAAGUCUGCUGUUAAAGAGCGGAGCUCAACUCCGUUUAAGCGGUGGAAACUGGUUGACUAGAGAGUGGUAGGGGUAGAGGGAAUUCCCAGUGUAGCGGUGAAAUGCGUAGAUAUUGGGAAGAACACCGGUGGCGAAAGCGCUCUGCUGGGCCGCAACUGACACUCAGGGACGAAAGCUAGGGGAGCG